GGGGGGACUUUUGGGAUAGCAUUGGAAAUGUAAUUGAAGAAAAUACAUAAUAAAAUAAAAUAAAAUAAAAUAAAAGAGUUUGAAAGGUAAUGAUACAAUGUGAAGAAAGUUACCUUUAUAACUUAAGUUAAUGAUCUAAUGCAGUAAGGCAGAAAGGUACCAAGUAACAUGAUCAGAAUGGUCAGAUAGUGUCAUGCUCACCAAAUGAAAUAAACAAAGGAUGCUCAGACAUUCUAUUGGUAGUGGCAGUAGGAAUCUUCAUCAAUAUGUGUGGGUAGUAUAACCUCCCCAGAGUGCCCAGUGAAACUGACUUCACCAAGCCUAAAAUGUGAUGAUUCUAUGCCAUCAUGUUGAGCUGGAAGUCAUAAUUUGGCUUUUUCACUCAUGCCUUCUUACACUGCUUUGUAUACAGUAAGGACUUUGUUUACGUGUAAAUUAAUGCUCUCAUGCUUGUCCUGGCUCUUGGUUUGUUGAUGAAUACAUUCCCUGAGUCUGUGAGGAUGAGAGUCAGCUGUCCGUACCGUUCCUUGAACUAUGUAAAGGACACACUAGCUGUCUGCUUUGUUACUUAUCUUAGAAACUCCACCACCAUCCUGUAAAGAAAAUAAGGUGAUAAGUGCUCAUCUAAGGACAAAGCAAAAACAAAAUAAACAAUCCUCCUGUCACAUAGUGCAGUCAUAUUAACCCUUGGUGGGCAUCAAGAAUCACGGCCUUUUCCCACCUCAGAGCUCUUGUCUGAUUAUGCAGUGGCAGGGAAAAAACAACAUUUUUCAACUCAUUAGUCACAUGACUUUUUGUAAUUUUCCAUUUUUGAGUGACUUUCAUGUGCUCUCUGCCAGGUCCCAAUCCUGUUAAAAAUGUAUUUGAAGAUGUGGGUUCAUGCUCAAUGUCUUAAUGAUGGAGAGAAACUCUUUUUUCUUAAACCCAACCUAUGAUAUUCAUUGUAAGUCAGGCAACUAGGAUGAUAGUAUUAUCUGCCUAGGAGGUCAAUAAAAUGCAGUUGAGUGUUAGCCUCCUCUACAAACCCAUACAAAGCUGCCUUGCUUUAAUUACUGCUGGGCAGAUGUUCCUUGGAUGGUCCUUAAGGGUCCAUGCAAAGAGCCAAGAAAUUGAUAGCAAUUUCUGGAUGUGUUAGGCAUUGCUCAUAAAAAAAAAGCAUAUGGAAUUCAGCUGACAUGAUAUAGUAACAUAUGGGGAUGAGGAAAUUCUAGUUAUUUAAUUUUAGAGUGUAUUUUUUCCCAAGUAUGCAUAGCCUACUUCUCUUGCCUAGGUAAUCAUUUUUUUUCUCUCUCUAGUUGACAUUUUUUUGUGUGUGUGUGUGAAGUGGUCAUGACAGAGGCCAUAGCAUUAAAGUCAACCCCUGUCUCUUCAGUGUUGAUUCCGAAAAGUGUCAAGACUUAAAACAACAACAACAACAAAAAGGAACAAGAAAAUACAAUACUCCAGAGAUCAAUUCACAGUGAGAAUACAGGAGACAGGAAAUUUUGGAUUAGCUCUACUGAAAUCUGUGUGGCAUUAAUGAUGCUUUGUCAAUAGCAUGAGUAACACCAAUUUUCAAGUAUAAUCCAUAAUCAAUUGUUUAUAAAUCAUCUCUUAGGUGUCCUGGAAGCACAACAUCUACAGUGACAUUUAUUAAGACUUGAUGCCCCUAAGAAGUCAAGGUCUCCACUGCGAAGGAACUGUUCAUAUGGUGACUUGUUUUUCUUCCACAAGACAGAUCCUCUUUGUGUAAUACUACUAAGAAAGCCUUCCACUGCACAGUGGCUUGUCUAGGAAGAUUCAAAAGCUUUGAUUUUGUCCAAACAAUUGAUGUUUUAUAUUUAAAAAAUAAAAUUUCUGGAAUUC
rnacentral:lncRNA from 1 species